CCAGCAUUCCCUUGGCCACUACCAACAGGAAAGAGGGGGAGGGAAUGAGGAAGCUGAGACCUCAUGCUGCAGCCUGCUUUGGAUGGAGAGCUGCACUGCUUUUUUUAAUGUUCUUCCACAGGCAACUAAUGACUCAGGAAGCCAUCGGAGGCCCCACUAAUCUGAGAGCUGAUUUCAGAGGAGUUCCUCAGCUUUAUACUGAUGUGAAAGCAAAAUCAGCCCCCCUGAACUUCAGCUUAAGUGGGGAAGUCAGCCCCACAGACUUGCUGUAAGGAGAAUGAUGCACCAGCUUGACACCCCCUUGCCUCUGCUAAAAGGAUUUCAAGCUGGUGAUAAGCUGCCUGUAACCUUGUAUCCAAUUUGCAGUUCAUUAGAAGUUCAGCAGAAGGAGGGUGGCCCUUGUGUACUGGGUCUGGUUCAGGAGCUCUUUAGCUGUUUCUGCCGCAUAUUCCAAGCCUGGUCCCAUGAGAGGGCGCCUUCUGGGUGGUUUGUGUUAACGCUCUGCUCUUGAUGCACGUCUGAAGUUUUAUGUUGACAUGGUGUUUAUAUUCCAGGUUUGUG